UUUGUUGUAAGGUGAAAACAACAGAUCCCAUUCGAACUCCGAAGUUAAGCACCUUAAGACUGGGUUAGUACUUAGGUAGGGGACCGCUUGGGAAGUCCCAAUGCUGAUAACC
rnacentral:rRNA from 1 species